rnacentral:rRNA from 1 species
UACGGAGGGUGCAAGCGUUGUCCGGAUUGACUGGGCGUAAAGCGCACGCAGGCGGACGCGCGCGUGGGGUGUGAAAUCUGGCCGCUUAACGGCCAGGCGCCAUCCCAUACGGCGCGUCUGGAGUGAUGCAGAGGUCGGUGGAAUUGCCGGUGUAGUGGUGAAAUGCGUAGAGAUCGGCAGGAACACCCAGGGGGAAACCAGCCGACUGGGCAUCUACUGACGCUGAGGUGCGAGAGCGUGGGGAGCGAACCGG